rnacentral:rRNA from 1 species
GUAGGUGGCAAGCGUUGUCCGGAUUUAUUGGGUUUAAAGGGUGCGUAGGCGGCCUAUUAAGUCAGUGCUGAAAUAUCCCGGCUUAACCGGGAGGGUAGCAUUGAUACUGAUGGGCUUGAGUGGAGUCGAGGUAGGCGGAAUUGACGGUGUAGCGGUGAAAUGCUUAGAUAUCGUCAAGAACACCGAUAGUGUAGACAGCUUACUUGACUUCAACUGACGCUGAGGCACGAAAGUGUGGGGAUCAAACAGGAUUAGAUACCCUGGUAGUCCACACUGUAAACGUUGAUUACUCGCUGUUGGCGAUACACAGUCAGCGGCUUAGCGCAAGCGAUAAGUAAUCCACCUGGGGAGUACGCCGGCAACGGUG